ACCUGAAUGCUGAGCGCGAGCCGGCGGAGAUGAACCCUUUAACUAAGGUGAAGCUGAUCAACGAGCUGAAUGAACGAGAGGUCCAGCUUGGGGUGGCCGAUAAGGCGUCCUGGCACUCUGAGUACAAGGACAGCGCCUGGAUCUUCCUGGGAGGGCUUCCUUAUGAACUGACUGAAGGGGACAUCAUCUGUGUGUUCUCACACUAUGGGGAGAUUGUUAACAUUAACCUUGUGCGGGACAAGAAGACUGGGAAAUCCAAAGGAUUUUGUUUUCUCUGCUAUGAAGACCAGAGGAGCACAAUUCUGGCCGUUGACAAUUUUCAUGGGAUCAAGAUCAAAGGAAGAACUAUCCGAGUGGAUCAUGUGUCUAACUAUCGGGCUCCUACGGACUCAGAAGAAAUGGAUGAUGUGACCAGAGAGCUCCAGGAGAAGGGCUGUGGAGCUUGUGCCCCCUCACCAAGUUUGUCUAAGAGCUCUGAAGAUGAAAAACCAACAAAGAAGCACAAAAAAGACAAAAAGGAAAAGAAGAAAAGAAGGAAAGAAAAAGAGAAAACUGACCGGGCGGAACAGGCAGAGCAACUGUCCUCUUCGUCACCCAGAAGUAAGACAGUAAAGGAAAAGGAUGACCCUGGCCCUAAGAGGCACAGCAGCAAGAACUCGGAGAGAGCUCAGAAGUCAGAGCUCAGGGAGAGGCGGAAGCUCCCCAAGGCCAGGACUGCCUACUCUGGUGGAGCAGAGAACCUAGAGAGGGAGCUGAAGAAGGAGAAACCCAAGCACAAGCACAAGUCCUCAACCAGGAGGGAGGCAAGAGAAGAAAAGACCAGGGAUAGGGACAGAGGGCGGAGCUCAGACACACAUUCUAGCCGGCACAACCGGCGUUCCGAAGGGCGUAGUCAUAGAAGUAGAAGUAGGAGCCGAGAUAAAUCCCAUAGGCAUAAAAGGUCCCAUCGAUCCCGGCAGUGGGAGUCUUCCAAUCCCAGUGACCAUAGGCGUCACUGAGGACUGUUUGGCUGCUCAGUAGAUUUGGAAAUAAUUAUGUUUUUUAAAUGCAGUCAAAUUCAGUUGGGUUGUUACUAUUUUUGUAUCUAAAACUUCUGGGGCUGGUUUCUUUGAAUCCCUUGAGUUAUUAGAGUCAUUGAGAGAGCUGCAGUUUAAACAGCUA